rnacentral:rRNA from 1 species
UCUCUUGAGAGCGGCGGACGGGUGAGUAAUACCUAGGAAUCUGCCUGAUAGUGGGGGAUAACGUUCGGAAACGGACGCUAAUACCGCAUACGUCCUACGGGAGAAAGCAGGGGACCUUCGGGCCUUGCGCUAUCAGAUGAGCCUAGGUCGGAUUAGCUAGUUGGUGAGGUAAUGGCUCACCAAGGCUACGAUCCGUAACUGGUCUGAGAGGAUGAUCAGUCACACUGGAACUGAGACACGGUCCAGACUCCUACGGGAGGCAGCAGUGGGGAAUAUUGGACAAUGGGCGAAAGCCUGAUCCAGCCAUGCCGCGUGUGUGAAGAAGGUCUUCGGAUUGUAAAGCACUUUAAGUUGGGAGGAAGGGCAGUUACCUAAUACGUGAUUGUCUUGACGUUACCGACAGAAUAAGCACCGGCUAACUCUGUGC